CAAAUCUACUAGAUUCCAUACCUAUCGCCUUUCUCAAAUACAAGCUAGAAUCUUAGUACAGUGUAACUUGCUCAUAACGACACUUGUUUAUAACGACAUUCUCUACAUACCGACACAUUUCUCCGGUCCCGUUAUUUUCCUUAUUAAAUGCAUUCAUCUUCGACCCGUAUGUAACGACACCUGUGAUACCCGAAUACCGACCAUAUUUCUCAGUCCCGAUCAGCAUAAUUACUCUUSAUUGACCUUGUUUAUCCGACACAUCAAACAMACGNCGCGCGGCGGCCAUUAUCGUUUAAGUUUGUGCGANWUAMAUMAUUACCAUUAUCGUCGUCGCU
rnacentral:sRNA from 1 species